rnacentral:rRNA from 1 species
GACUUGUGUGCGCCGGAUGCGGCGAUCUGCGGCCAAAAGGUCGUUGCGAUCAGCCCGUCCUGGCGCCGUAAAAUUUGCAACUGGGUCGCCGCUGGUCUUAAUUGGUCGGUGGCGUCUGCUCGGUUGCUCGUUUACUGUGAGAAAAUUGGAGUGUUCAAGGCAGGCGUGGAUUGCAACUGAACAUGUUAGCAUGGAAUAAUAAGAUAGGGCUCCGGCUCAUAUUUUGUUGGUUUCUAGAGCGUGGGAGUAAUGAUUGAUAGGGACAGUUGGGGGUGCUAGUAUUCAGCGGCCAGAGGUGAAAUUCAUGGAUUCGCUGAAGACUGACUUAUGCGAAAGCAUU